UGUAUUGUAUUCUAAUGUCGUUAGCUGAUCCCAUCUUUGAUAAUGCACUCUGAGGUGACCCAAUACAGAAAAAUAAUAAACUCAAAGCUCAUCAUUUAGUCAUUUAAUACUGUUAGAACAUGUUUUGUAACUCCUAUGAGGGCAUUGAGUACAUUGUCAUGUUUAGUAAAAACAGUAAGAUGCAUUAAUAGUGCAUAAUAGUAGUGAUGUUGCAGUUAUUUGUUAUGAGCUUUAACCACUAAGACAACAAGUCGACCCUGAAACAUCCUUUUAUGCAGAUUCAUGAAACAUCUGGAGAGAAUCUCUUGGUGUUGGUUGUGGUUGUGGAUGUUUGCAUGAAGAUAGAAACUUCCUGUCUCUUAGCAUGAAAAUACAUCAUCAGGACUAAUAUUGUUGGUAGAAUCACACUCUUGAAAGAACUUGAAUAUGUAUGAUGCACAACUAGAUUAACAUUAUCAGUCACAUUUACAGAAAUAUUAAUAUACCACACCUAAAGAAAUAUAAAGAAUGUAAAUUCAAGUCAAAGAUUUGAUUUAUAUCAAACCA